UACGUAGGGGGCAAGCGUUGUCCGGAUUUAUUGGGCGUAAAGAGCUCGUAGGCGGCUCGAAAAGUCGGCGGUGAAAACUCGGGACUCAACUCCGAGGCGCCCGUCGAUACUGUCGAGCUUGAGUCCGGUAGGGGAGUGUGGAAUUCCUGGUGUAGCGGUGAAAUGCGCAGAUAUCAGGAGGAACACCGAUGGCGAAGGCAGCACUCUGGGCCGGCACUGACGCUGAGGAGCGAAAGCUAGGGGAGCAAACAGG
rnacentral:rRNA from 1 species